rnacentral:rRNA from 1 species
AGUGAACGCUGGCGGUAGGCCUAACACAUGCAAGUCGAACGGCAGCACAGUAAGAGCUUGCUCUUACGGGUGGCGAGUCGCGGACGGGUGAGGAAUACAUCGGAAUCUACUUUUUCGUGGGGGAUAACGUAGGGAAACUUACGCUAAUACCGCAUACGACCUACGGGUGAAAGCAGGGGAUCUUCGGACCUUGCGCGAUUGGAUGAGCCGAUGUCGGAUUAGCUAGUUGGCGGGGUAAAGGCCCACCAAGGCGACGAUCCGUAGCUGGUCUGAGAGGAUGAUCAGCCACACUGGAGCUGAGACACGGUCCAGACUCCUACGGGAGGCAGCAGUGGGGAAUAUUGGACAAGGGGCGCAGGCCUGAUCCAGCCAUACCGCGUGGGUGAAGAAGGCCUUCGGGUUGUAAAGCCCUUUUGUUGGGAAAGAAAAGCAGCAGGUUAAUACCCCGCUGUUCUGACGGUACCCAAAGAAUAAGCACCGGCUAACUUCGUG